CGUCGCUGCCGCUUCCCGAGGGGAACGGCAGACUGGGGCUCACCGCCCCGGACCGAAGAACAUACAAGCGCUGGGCCCCAUCGAUAGGGCGCCAGCCCAACAAGAAAUUUCGGAUGUACGCAUGCGCCAGGACGACGCAUGAAUCCCC
rnacentral:sRNA from 21 species